CAAACAAUUAACUUUCAGUGUUCCAAUUUUCUCCAACCAACGUAGGAAAAAAGUAAUAUAUAUAUAUAUAUAUAGAUGGCGGAAAAAUAAAAGGCAAAUAACAAUGCAUAUAAGAUAGUAUAGAUUCUGAUUGGUGAUUCAAACCUGAAGCUGAGCCAUGAUAUUAGAAAUAAACCAUUUUGAAAGAUGAUCAAACCUGUAAAAUUUUAGAAAAUCAAUAAAGAUCUCUACCAUUUUUUUUCUUGAUCUGCAAAGACCUCUACAUCAAAGACAUCAAAGUAGAUGAAACCAUAGAAAAUUAUUUGGGGAAGAAGGAGAAAGAUCGAUGUAAGGGAAUCACCUUCUCCCACCAAGAAGAGGACCUCUUUUGUACCCAUUCAUGACGGAAUGAUCAGGCUAGGGGGAAGGGCCAGCC
rnacentral:lncRNA from 1 species